rnacentral:rRNA from 1 species
GAUUUCAUUAAUACUUUUACUUUUAAAAAUUUUUUAAAGUAUUUAUGGGGAGUUAUACGCUUUCGUUUUUUAGAAUAUCUAAAUUAUGGGGAAAUUAGGGAAAACCUUUUUAUUUUUCUUAUUUUUGGAAAUGGUAAUUUUUCUUUAGUAGUAAGAAAUUGUGUAAUAACUUAAUGUUGAAAAGUAGGAAUUUUUUUUAUUUUUUUAAAAAAUUUAGAAAUUAAUUAAUGGAUUAGUAGGAAGAUUUUUUUUUUGUUUUUUUUGUUUUUUAAUAUUAAAAAAUAAUAAAUUAUUUAUGCUUACUGAUUUUUUCUUAAACUGGUUAAUAAAAUCUUAGCUAUAAAUUUUAUAGUUAUUUCUGCUCUAUGAAAAAUAAAAAUAAAUGGCUGUGAAUAUAUACACUAAGGUAGCGAAAUCAUUAGUUAUUUAAUUGGUAACUUGUAUGAAUGAAUUUUUUAGGAAAAUUAUUACUUUUUUUUCUAAAAUUAUAUAAUUGUUGAAAAUAACAAUUUUUUCCUGUAAGACUAAAAGACCCUAAAAUUUUUAUAACUUGGAGAAGUAAGUUAUUUAGUUGGGGUAACAUUAAAAAGUUAAUAUUUUUAAUUAUGAUUAAUUUUUUUUUGAACUUUUUUACUGAUAAAAAGUAAAAUACUUUAGGGAUAACAGCUUUAUUAUCUUUUAGAGUUCUUAUUAUUAAGAUAGUUUUAGACCUCGAUGUUGGAUUGGAGAAACUUUUUGGGGCAG